rnacentral:lncRNA from 1 species
AUAAACUCUUAAUCGAAGAGCAAGGUAGGCAUUUACCAAUACCUGGACCAGCAGGCCACCACUAUAAGGUAAAGCCAAAAAGAAAGACUGAAUUAGGUGUUUGAGGUUGUUUGCCCAAACAACUCUUGAUUGAAGAGGUAGACUGUCAUUAGGACGUCCUAAAAGGAUGGACAAGGCGUCCAAGGAGAAGUAUGAUUGAUCUCAAAAAGAUGGCAUUGAUAGAAUGAAUGGAGAAUGGGAUAGAGAAAG